CUGUGGAAUUGAAUUUAAUGGGGGAGGGUAUCUACACCUGAGCAGACGUGCAUAGGAUUGCAGUGCACCAUUUGCAGACAUUGGAGGGUGGGGUGUCAGUGCCAUGUGGCACUAACAGAAGGUAAACAUUAUGUGACUCAAGAGGGUGGCAAAUCGUGCAUUUUCUCCAUCUGCAUCAUUGGCGGAGGCUGCAGAAUUUGGUUUAUCUUGUUGCAGAAGUUUAAUUACAUUUUAGAGAGGAUUACAAAAAGCCCUGAGAAUGUAAGUCCUCAAUGCAAAAAAGAAAGUAAAUCAAAAGCAGGUCUUAACUUAAAACAAUGCCAAAAUGAAACAGUGGCGUUUCCAGCAAGUCCCUGAGAUUUUUGGGUGCUGCCUUUUUCUUCUGUCUGUUCCAGGCAUGGAGAACCUUGCUGGGUUCCAGCUCCCAACAUCCUUGACUUUUGGCCUUGAUGGCUUGGGCUGAUGGGAGUUGGAUUCCAACAGCGUUACAGGUUCUCCACCCCAGAUCUGUGACAUCUUCUCUCCUGUUAGGCACUGGGCAAAUCUAUCCCAGUCUGCUCCAAUUCACCAGAGCUCUUUGGGGGUUCAGGUAGAGGAGUCUUCUGCAGGCCUGGUACCCAAGGUGCUUUUGGCUAGAAAUGAUGGGGGAUUGAAUUAAAAACCACCUGUGCACAACGUGCGCUUUCAUUUAGCUGCGAUCCCUCCCCACCACAAAUGCGUCUCCAGCAUAGCUGUCAACUUACAGUUUUGAAAAUAAGGGACCAGCAGCCUUGAAAAUAAGGGAUCAUCAGCCAAAAUAAGGGAUUUUCAGAGCACAGGUAUGUUCAACUUCUGAGCCCCUCCGAGCCAAAGGCAGAAAGCCCAGCUAGCAGCCAAACGAAGCCUCAAGCGGUGGUUCCCACAGCGCAGCAACCAGGCAAAGGGAAUGCAGCAAGGAAAAGCACCGUCACCUCUCCGCUGGGAAGCACUGAGCAAAGAAAGGCGAGUCCCCAGGCAACGCGGCCGAUUUGAUUGGCACAAGGCAUGCAAGCUCCGCCCCCCAGUCGUUCUUAGACUCCUUAUUGGGUGAGCAACGCAGCCAAGCAACACAGCUGGAGCCUCCCUCCUCCCUGGCUGGCAGGAAGGGAGGGAGAGGAGCUGCUUCCUUUGAAACCUGGGAAAUUUAAGGGACAUCAUCAAUAAGGGACAGCAGCGGCACACAGCGCUGGGAUAAGGGACUUUCCCGCCAAAUAAGGGACGGUUGACAGCUGUGGUCUCCAGCUGCCACGCCAUGCAUUUCCCCUGAGAUUUAUUUUGAGUCCUAGUUAACAGACUUCCUUUCUAAGCACGACUGUGUGCUGCAGAAGAUAUGCACAAUUUUUAAAGGUUUUCGCAAACCAAACCGCCCCAAACCACGUUGAUCCAGGCUUUUUGGGUCCCCGUAAAGUCAAAUCCAUCAGCAAAUAACCCAGGGAAGCAGGUCAGCAUCAGCUAUUGGAGCAGAGUUCAGUUCAGCAGGAUGUAGAAUCCAGGCCAGGCCUUUC